UGACGGAAUUGCAAGCAUAGUUUGGCUGGUGAUGCAAGAGUUCAGCAAAAAUCAACGAAAGGAUUAGGGAGUGCUGAUUCAGGUUAUUAAGGCUUUGCUUGAUGACACACCACUGCAGUGGUCUGGAACCAAAGCUGCAAUAUCUCCAAGGAGGCAGAAGGAGUAGCACAAGCAAAGCUGUGCAAGUUGGGAAUGACAGCCAUUUUCAAAAUCACAACAGUCACUUCCUGGGGCAUAACACCGUCUGAUAUCAUCUUACUGAGAGGGUGUCAGCCUUAGCUGAAAGCAAGGAAAGAACCAGGGGUUAGCCAACCAAACAGGAUUCAAGAGAAACUUGAAAGAAGAGGCUGUGGGGACCAACAUUUUCAGACCGAGAAGCACAGCCCAGGCAUUACAGCAGGCGAGCAGCGGCCAGAGGGCAAAAGGCAAGUUAAAGUAAAACCAUCUUGCUCCCUCACCUCG